UACGAAGGGUGCAAACGUUGCUCGGAAUUAUUGGGCGUAAAGCGCACGUAGGCGGCUUAGCAAGUCGGAAGUGAAAUCCCUCGGCUCAACCAAGGAAGUGCUUUCGAAACUGCUGAGCUUGAGUACUUAAGAGGAUCGCGGAAUUCCCGGUGUAGAGGUGAAAUUCGUAGAUAUCGGGAGGAACACCUGUGGCGAAAGCGGCUCACUGGACCACAACUGACGCUGAGGCGCGAAAGCUAGGGGAGCAAACAGG
rnacentral:rRNA from 1 species